GAUGAACGCUGGCGGCGUGCUUGACACAUGCAAGUCGAACGGAAAGGCCGAAGCUUGCUUCGGUACUCGAGUGGCGAACGGGUGAGUAACACGUGGGUGAUCUGCCCUGUACUUCGGGAUAAGCUUGGGAAACUGGGUCUAAUACCGGAUAUGACGAUCUCUUGGAUGGGGUUGUGGAAAGCUUUUGCGGUAUGGGAUGAGCUCGCGGCCUAUCAGCUUGUUGGUGGGGUAAUGGCCUACCAAGGCGUCGACGGGUAGCCGGCCUGAGAGGGUGUACGGCCACAUUGGGACUGAGAUACGGCCCAGACUCCUACGGGAGGCAGCAGUGGGGAAUAUUGCACAAUGGGCGCAAGCCUGAUGCAGCGACGCCGCGUGGGGGAUGACGGCCUUCGGGUUGUAAACUCCUUUCGCAAUCGACGAAGCCUUUUGGUGACGGUAGGUUGAGAAGAAGCACCGGCUAACUACGUG
rnacentral:rRNA from 1 species